rnacentral:rRNA from 1 species
CCUACGGGGGGCAGCAGUAGGGAAUAUUGCUCAAUGGGGGAAACCCUGAAGCAGCAACGCCGCGUGGAGGAUGAAGGUUUUCGGAUUGUAAACUCCUUUUGUUAGAGAAGAUAAUGACGGUAUCUAACGAAUAAGCACCGGCUAACUCCGUGCCAGCAGCCGCGGUAAUACGGAGGGUGCAAGCGUUACUCGGAAUCACUGGGCGUAAAGAGCGCGUAGGCGGGAUAGCAAGUCAGAUGUGAAAUCCUAUGGCUUAACCAUAGAACUGGAUUUGAAACUGUUAUUCUAGAGUAUGGGAGGGGUAAGGGGGAAUUUUGGGGUAAGGGGAAAAACCGGAAGAGA